rnacentral:rRNA from 1 species
AGUGGCGGACGGGUGAGUAACGCGUGAGAAUCUGCCUUGGGGUCGGGGACAACCACUGGAAACGGUGGCUAAUACCGGAUAAGCCGAUUGGUGAAAGAUUUAUUGCCCGAAGAGGAGCUCGCGUCUGAUUAGCUAGUUGGUGAGGUAAGAGCUCACCAAGGCAGCGAUCAGUAGCUGGUCUGAGAGGACGAUCAGCCACACUGGGACUGAGACACGGCCCAGACUCCUACGGGAGGCAGCAGUGGGGAAUUUUCCGCAAUGGGCGAAAGCCUGACGGAGCAAGACCGCGUGAGGGAGGAAGGCUCUUGGGUUGUAAACCUCUUUUCUCAGGGAAGAAGCUCUGACGGUACCUGAGGAAUCAGCCUCGGCUAACUCCGUGCCAGCAGCCGCGGUAAUACGGAGGAGGCAAGCGUUAUCCGGAAUUAUUGGGCGUAAAGCGUCCGCAGGUGGCGAUUCAAGUCUGCUGUCAAAGCACGGGGCUUAACUCCGUAAAGGCAGUGGAAACUGAAUAGCUAGAGUGCCGUAGGGGUAGAGGGAAUUCCCGGUGUAGCGGUGAAAUGCGUAGAGAUCGGGAAGAACAUCGGUGGCGAAAGCGCUCUACUGGACGGCAACUGACACUCAGGGACGAAAGCUAGGGGAGCGAAUGGGAUUUAGAUACCCC